AACAAGGCGUACCUGCGGACCUGCGGAAGGAUCAUUAUCGAGUUAGGGUCUUCAGGCCCGACCUCCCAACCCUAUGUUGACUGAACCGAUGUUGCUUCGGCGGGCCCGUCUCACGACCGCCGGGGGACCGUAAGAAGUCCUCUGGCCCGCGCCUGCCGGUGGCCUAAACUUCAAAUUCUAGUUAAAUCGUGUCAUUGUCUGAGUGCCAUUUUUAAUUAAAAGCAAAACUUUCAGCAAUGG
rnacentral:misc_RNA from 1 species